AUGCUGGUUAGGGUUCCUCUUCCUAUUGAUCCGCCGAAGCAGAUCCACGAGAUCAAGAGGAGGCCUGCACCCUCUGCGACCAUGACACCCUCUGCAGUCGCCGUCCCCCAGAGAAGUGAGAUGGCUGGCUUGGAAGGUUUCGAGUUCUUCGAGAUCGUAAUUGAGAAAUCUUGCAGUAGGCAGAGGCUGCCUGACAAGUUUGCGAAGAUCCUCGCCGGCCGUGAGCCCCACAAAGUGAAGCUGCAGGAGGCCGGCAACGGGCUUCACAGGCUGUGGGACGUGUUGGUGGUGUUCGAUGGUGAAGGCCACAUGUACCUAGGGCCCGGCUAG
rnacentral:rRNA from 1 species